rnacentral:rRNA from 1 species
UAGGGAAUAUUGCUUAAUGGGCGAAAGCCUGAAGCAGCAACGCCGCGUGUGUGAAGAAGGCCUUCGGGUUGUAAAACACUUUUUGAGGGGAUGAGGAAGGACAGUACCCUCAGAAUAAGCCUCGGCUAACUACGUGCCAGCAGCCGCGGUAAAACGUAGGAGGCGAGCGUUAUCCGGAUUUACUGGGCGUAAAGCGCGUGCAGGCGGCACGGCAAGUUGGAUGUGAAAGCUCCCGGCUUAACUGGGAGAGGUCGUUCAAAACUGCC